GGGAAUGGAAGGAACAGAGUAGUGCCUUGGACAGACUCCGCCACCCAUAGCCCAUUGAAUUCUGGAAAGUAGUCCUUCCUUGGGAGAUGCUCAGCUAAGAAGAAGGAAAGACAGAAGAACCUUGGUGCUGUACUGGAGCUGAAGCUCUUCUCCACAGAGGGGUAACAGCACAGCUAGAAGAAAAAUGGAAGUAUUCUCUGUGCUUUCCUGCAAGUGGUGUACCCACUGGCAGGGGCUCCUGCUCACAGCCUCCCUUUUAACCUACUGGCACUUGCCUACCACUGCUCAAAUAACCAUUGAAUUAGUGCCACCCCAAGUGGUUGAAGGAGAAAAUGUUCUCAUACGUAUUGACAAUCUGAGAGAGAAUAAUAUAACCUUGGCCUGGUAUAG
rnacentral:lncRNA from 1 species